rnacentral:rRNA from 1 species
CUCCUACGGGAGGCAGCAGGUGGGAAUAUUGGACAAUGGAGGAAACUCUGAUCCAGCAAUACUGCGUGAAUGAUGAAGGUCUUCGGAUUGUAAAGUUCUUUAGAUAGGGAAGAUAAUGACGGUACCUAUAGAAUAAGCACCGGCAAACUUCGUGCCAGCAGCCGCGGUAAUACGAAGGGUGCUAGCGUUGUUCGGAAUUAUUGGGCGUAAAGGGUGUGUAGGUGGAUUUGUAAGUUAGUUGUGAAAUCCCGGGGCUCAACCUCGGAAUUGCAGUUAAUACUAUAAGUCUAGAAUGAGAUAAGAGAUGGCAGAAUUUCUAGUGUAGGGGUUAAAUCCGCAGAUAUUAGAAGGAAUACCAGUGGUGAAGACGGCUAUCUUGGUCUUUAUUGACACUAAUACACGAAAGGGUGGGGAGCAAACAGGAUUAGAUACCCUGGUAGUCCACCCCGUAAACGAUGAUUACUAAAUGUCUGGAAGUAAUUCUGGGUGUUAAAGCUAACGCGUUAAGUAGUCCGCCUGGGGAAUACGGUCGCAAGACUAAAACUUAAAUGAAUUGACGGGGACCCGCACAAGCAGUGGAACAUGUGGUUUAAUUCGAUAGUCCACGAAAAACCUUACCAAAUCUUGACAUCCUGAUUACUGGUGUAGAAAUACACUAUACAUUUAGUUGAGUCAGAGACAGGUGAUGCAUGGCCGUCGUCAGCUCGUGCCGUGAGGUGUUAGGUUAAGUCCUUUAACGAGCGCAACCCCCGUCUUUAUUUGCUAACAGGUAAUGCUGAGAACUAUAAAGAGACCGCUAUUGACAAAAUAGAGGAAGGUGGGGAUGAUGUCAGGUCAUCACGUCCCUUAUGAUUUGGGCUACACAUGUGUUACAAUGGUGACUACAAAGAGUUACAAUGCCGUGAGGCGGAGUCAAUCUUAAAAAGUCAUCUCAGCUCGGAUUGCAGGCUGCAACUCGCCUGCAUGAAGUUGGAAUUGCUAGUAAUCGUAGAUCAGCAUGCUACGGUGAAUACGUUCUCGGGUCUUGUACACACUGCCCGUCACACCAUGAAAAGUUCUUUCUUCUUGAACUAUGUGAGCUAACCGUAA